CCUGAUGGGUGAGGAGGGAGUCAGCAGGUGGCUGGCCUCCUGGCUAGAUGAGCUGAGAAGGGCAAGGGGCAGGGCCUUCUAAUCUCUGACACAGCAGGGCUGGCCUGGACAGUGGCCAAAAGCGGGAGUGGGAAAGCAGUUACCUCGCUACAGAUAAGCACCUGACCCGCUUUCGCUUAUUAGCAUUUCUUGCUGCGUCUGUUUAUUUAACCAAAGCAUCCUGAUCAUCACAACAGCUAUCCAAGCUUGUUGACAUAUUGGAAAUUCAGCCUUCAUGCAGCCUCAGGCUCAGCCAUCCGCCAGCUGUGCCUGGUAUUAAUUAAAACAGUGAGUGAGGAGAACCUGGUUAAUCCUCUGGGGGGAAGGGUGGGACUUAUUGUUCAAGGGGGAUAGGGUUUCAGCUUGCAGGCUGCACUAGUUUGCUUUUCAGAGUUCCAAAAGGGCAUUUGUGGUGGCACCACUGUGCCCAGUGCCUUUGCUGGCUUCCUGAGCUUUCCAGAAUAUUGAGGUGUGUGUGCAGGUAUGCUCGAUUGUGUGCACGAGACCUGCAUGUGCGUGAGUGCUCAUGGAAGCCCGUGAGCUGGUGUGUGUGGAUGCACGCGCACGUGCUCGUCUGCAUCUCUCCAGCCCACAGGUCCCAGCACCAAAGGCAGGCACACCCUCAGCUAAUGCACUUGGUGGCCAAACAGGUUCCAGCUGCUUCUUUGUUGCAUUUAAACACCUGGGAAGCUGUACAGCUCACGUGGAUCGCUUGAGACUGAGAGACUCUGCACUGAAGUCCUUGUGGUGAUUAUCACGAGGACUCUGUGAUUUCCCUUGUGAGAACCCCAUGGGCAGGCUGGGAACACUUCGCUGUGAUUGUCGCCAGCUCCUCCCAGAAGGACUCAGGUCACUCCUCCCAGAUGUUGCAGUCUCUUUCAGCUGGAGCACCCGGCUACAGCAGGCUAAACCAUCUCAGACGGCCUUGUAUCUGCAGUAUGGGAAUCUAGCUGCUUUCUACAGCAUCUACAGUGGCCUGUGGCUACAGCAUCUACAGUGACUCAGAUCAUUUUCACAGCUUUUCAGUGCUUUUCUCUCAGAUCAACCAAAGUAUGGGAUAGGAAAUGAUGCAGUGUUAAGUUGGCCCAAUCUCUCACACUAGAUGUUUCAACCAGCAAAGAAGUAUUACUUAAGAAAAUAGAGGGCAAACAUACCAGUUUGCAUUGCCAAAUAAAAACUGUUCCUCCCUUACUGUUCCCUCGGCAUCUUUAGGGACAGGGAUGGCUUUGUGAGAAACAGUUACUUCUCCAGGAGGCAAGAACCCUGGCUUCAGAUAGGAUCUUUGGCAGGAAAUGAAUGGGGGCAUUUCAUAAAUGUGCUUUUCACUCCAAGCCCUGCUCAGAAGGUACAGAGCCAAGCUAACCAGGCCCAUGUGAUGGCUCCAGUUAUGGGUUACAUCAGCCCUCAGUGCCCAGUCUCGUCUCCUGAUGGUAUCUCAUACCCAAGCCUGUGAUCAUAGUGCAGUGUAGGUGCUGUAAUUUCCUCACUAUGCUGCCCUGAGCACAGCUGAUAUUUUCAAUGUUGAGUUCAAGGGCCUAAGGAAGCCCCCGUUGACCACUCCAGACUGUGCUGAGUUCUUUCUCUGAACCUUGAUUGCACCCGGGUCAGCACCUAAAAAUGCGGCUCCUAGCCAGAAGCUGGAAGAGCUAGAAGGGGCCACAGGGACCUCACAAAUCCUGCCACCCACUCCAUCCCCCCAUCACCCAUUCUCUCUUCAGUAUCCCCAAGAAGAAUUGUCCUGCUUCUGAGCACCUGCAUUGGAGGGCACUCAUGACUUCAGGAGGGAGGAGGGAGGUCCUCAGGUAGGUCUUACUGUCAGAAGUGGCUUCACAGCGUUAGAUGUGACCCCUUUAAUUUCCACUCACAGCUCCUGGUUCCACCCCUAAGAGCCACACAAUUGUAACCCUUCCUUCUUCCAUCUGACAACUUCCCCAGGCCCCUUGACAAAUAGCUCCUUUUCCUUCUGUAAUCCCUCCCCUUGCCCCAAUGCCACUGAUUGUCCUCUAGUUAUUUAGCUCCCUUUUCUCACCAAGUGGACUCAGGAGCUGGCUUUUUCUUCCUUUGUGUUCAACAAGUGCCUUCCUUGCUGGCCUCCCGCUCCCAUGUCUUUCUCACCAUAAACCUCAUAUGGGAUUGAGCCCAUAGUCAGCAUCCACCUUGCAGAUGCCCAGCAAACUCAGCACCUUCUGCAGAAGCCACAUCAAAUGCUGGCUCAUAUUUUUCUGAGGCCCUUUGAACAAUGCACGGCCAAUCGAUAAUAUAUCAAGUGCUCUGAUGGCCUCAUAGCAAACACAAAGUCAGGUCAGUCCUGAGUUCUGCAAUCCAUGGUGGAUAAGAGACCCUUGUGCUAGCCCAUAGCACAUGUCCCCCUAAGACUUGAGCCUCAGCAGAGACUCCCCUUCAAACAUCAAUGACCAAAAUUAUGGCUGUUUUCUUGCUGCAGCUUAGAUAGUGGAGGGAUCUUCAGAAUUGCUUAGAGUUGAGCUUUUUU